rnacentral:rRNA from 1 species
CCUGAUCCCAUCUCGAACUCAGAAGUGAAACAUACCUGCGCCAAUGAUAGUGUGGGGCUUCCCC